rnacentral:lncRNA from 10 species
CGGCCCGCGAGGGACAACCCGAGGAGGAGCAGUUUCAUCUGAUUAACACCUGAGUCUCGUCCAGUGUGACAUUCUUCAGAAUUCAUCCUGGAAUCAAUAUUAUGCCAAAGAAAAUUUUCUGAAAGCUACACAGAUCAUACCACUGCAACUCAGCCAACCAGCACAUCGGACAGUGGGAGGAGGAAUUCUUGGCUAAGAGUACUGAGAGAUGGGGUUUCACCAUGUUAACCAGGAUUGUCUCAAUCUCCUGACCGCGUGAUCCACCUGCCUCAGCCUCCCAAAGUGCUGGGAUUACAGGCGUGAGCCACCAUGCCUGGCCAAAAUUCUGUAUGUCUUUCUAAUCUCACUUCCUAAUGGAGAUAAAAUAGAUCUCAGGCUUAUGUAUUUUUCUAGAACAUUAAAAUCUUGUUUUUUGUGUAUUUAUUAUUAAGUUUACCUUCUAUUGUGGAAAACUCUAUUGAUUCUUCAUUUAAAAUAGUAAUAUAAAUUUUAUUUUCAAGGAAUGCAUUUAGGAAACUAAAGAAGUCAAUGUAAACAACAAAUAUUGAAUAAAUAAUAGUCCAGGUGAUACACAAAGUUGGAAAAUACUACAACACCUACCAUUAAGAAAUUAUUACCAAAUAGGUUG